AGGGCGGUAUCGAUUGCAGAGCUGCACCUGAUUGGCAAAUGAAUGAGAUUAGAAAUCUGCCUUGAUCUUUAUAGACAGGGACGGAGGA
rfam:Sporosarcina sp. P33, complete genome.